rnacentral:lncRNA from 1 species
AAUAAGAAAAUUGGUAAACACUGUUUAGUCAUAUUGCAUACAAAUAUCCUAUAGUACUCUGUCAAUCGCAAUUGUCUUCAUCAUCAUCCACCAUUAUCUUUGUCCUAUGUAUCCCUUCUUCAUCUAGACCAAACAUAAACAUUUCCUCUUUCAAUGACACUUCAGCUAAUCUUAGACAAUGCUCAGUCAGAGUGUAUGCAUCAAU